AGCCAUGUGGUAAGCACAAAGCGAACUAUUCUUUCGCCUUUUACUAAAGAAUACCGUGUGCUUGCCUCUAAUAGUGGCAUACGCUAAUUUUUGAAGGUUAGCUCUUUAUAGAGCCA
rnacentral:snRNA from 1 species